rnacentral:tRNA from 1 species
GCCAGUCUGGCUCAGUCAGCAGAGCAUGUGACUCUUAAUCUCAGAGUCAUGAGUUCAAGCCCCACGUUGGGCA